rnacentral:rRNA from 1 species
GUACACGCUGUGACUAGCAUAUCAAUAAGCGGAGGAAAAGAAACUAACAAGGAUUCCCCUAGUAACGGCGAGUGAAGCGGGAAGAGCUCAAAUUUGAAAUCUUAAAGGGUUUCCCUUUACGAAUUGUAGUUUAAAGAAGUGUUUUCUGUUGAGGUUUUGGUAAAAGUUCUUUGGAAUAGGACAUCAUAGAGGGUGAGAAUCCCGUAUUUGACCUUUACUUUCAACUUUGUGAUACACUUUCAAAGAGUCGGAUUGUUUGGGAAUGCAGUCCAAAAUGGGUGGUAAAUUUCAUCUAAAGCUAAAUAUUGGCGAGAGACCGAUAGCGAACAAGUACCGUGAGGGAAAGAUGAAAAGAACUUUGAAAAGAGAGUUAAACAGUACGUGAAAUUGUCAAAAGGGAAGCGUUUGACACUAGUGUUGUUUUUCUGAAAAUCAAUUAAAGAACUGUUUAUGCUAAGCUGUUUAGACUUUAUCAGCUAAUCUGUUUAGUUUUGAGCUUUUCUUUAAUGCACUUUUCAGUUAACAAGUCAACAUCAAUUUCUUUUGCUGUAAAAAAGCUUGAGGAAGGUGGCUUGAGAUUCGUCUUAAGUGUUUAUAGCCUCUUGCCUAUGCAGUCGGAGAGAUUGAGGUCUGCAGCGUAGAUCCUUCGGGGCUAAAUGCAUUUGUGCUAAGUUAUAACAUUUCAUAGACAACUUGUUGACUAUGAUUUGUCUUGUAGCUUACUCGCUUAUGUUAUUUUACCUACGCUUAGGAUGUUGACGAGACUGUCGAUCUC